UCAUGCUCCAAAACGUCUGUUAGUCUAUAAGGUGCCACAGGACUCUUUGCUGCUGUCAUGGCUCACCAUCCAUCUUGGAGCUGAACGCCAGAUGGGAGCUGAUAGAUUGUUUAUCCCGGUCCUAGCCAUGUGUGGUGCAUCUUCUCCUGGCCCUCUCUGGCACACAGCUCCAUCCCACACAAAAACAUGGCCCACCAAGAACAAUCUGUAAUGGUAGAGAGUCAGCCAGUGAAGCCAGUUUGCAGAAUGUGGAAGAGCUGUUUGGCGAUGGGUUGGAGGAUUCACCAUGUAGGUGGCAGCAGCUGCAGUGCCUGGGGUCUCCAUGGGCCAAGGCUCCACUCCUGACACACCAGGCUAAUCUCCCAUUGCUCUCAGGGGGCUUUGGCUUUAGCUGCUGGGCCUGCGUGCCUAGAGAGAAGACUCCAGUAUUUCCAUCAGGCUGCUCAAUGGCAAAUAUAGCCAUCUACAGAAGUGAAGAAGAAUGGAAGUGAAAGAGUAAAGCUGGACCAUCCGCUGAGCUGCUGCAAUCAAGUGAGCAGAGCUGGGGAGAGAAGAGGGAGAAUGCGAAGGUGGCUGGUGGCAGUAAGGAGGAAAAGCAGUUUGGGAGCCAGGAGUGUAGAAAUAAAUAGUUAAAGAUGAAUACUGCGGGCUUUGUCUUGUGUGGUGAAGGAUUGAAAAUGAGUCUCUUUACUAUCACACUCAACUUUAAAAUAGCCUGGUACAAUGACAGGGCAGGUCUAUAAAGGUAAGAGGUCACUUUAAGGGCUUGACAUCCCAGAUUCUGUCGCUAUUGUAUGCUUCUAUCAACAUGAUCUCAACCCAACAAAUCCCUGAGGUGGUAGCAGUAGUGAGCUCUUGUCCUCUUUUUCUAGACUAACCACCAGAAAAAAGACACAAUACAUGUGGCCAAGGAAAUGGAGAGGCA